GCAGGCAGGACACUACCUCGAUCGUGAAUCACACGUCGUUAAACAUGUAAACUUCCGCGUUCUCUUGAGAGCGGCCGGACGGGUGAGUAAUGCCUAGGAAUCUGCCUGGUAGUGGGGGAUAACGUUCGGAAACGGACGCUAAUACCGCAUACGUCCUACGGGAGAAAGCAGGGGACCUUCGGGCCUUGCGCUAUCAGAUGAGCCUAGGUCGGAUUAGCUAGUUGGUGGGGUAAUGGCUCACCAAGGCGACGAUCCGUAACUGGUCUGACAGGAUGAUCAGUCACACUUGGAACUGAGACACGGUCCAGACUCCUACGGGAGGCAGCAGUGGGGAAUAUUGGACAAUGGGCGAAAGCCUGAUCCAGCCAUGCCGCGUGUGUGAAGAAGGUCUUCGGAUUGU
rnacentral:rRNA from 1 species